UUGAUGGAUUUCUGGUACCCCAGAAUAAUUACAGCAAGAUUUGCAUGCAAUAAAAAAAGUUAAUAUUGAAGCCUUUGUGAAAAAAUGCACCAGCAGUCAGCCUCUAGAAGAUCAGUACAGCUGAGUUUUUCAAGAUCUAAGUUUUAAGGCAUAUGAGGGUUUGUGAGACAUCCUAAAUCAGACAGGCAUUUCUUGGACUAGAAGUAGACUACUGUCAGCUGAGUGAUAUAGUGAACAAUAGCUUCUGUGUUCAUCCAGGCUGCUAGUCUUCAAACAUGGAGUUUUGCUGCCGCCUCUAAUAACCCCAUAGUGCUACUUUUUCCAGAAACGCCUUCAGCAGGCUCCAUUUGUUCAUAGUUCUGUUUUUGGAAUCACAAUGGCGAUAUGGAACAUCACAUAUACACAACAGUAUGUGGACAACAAGAAAGCUUCUGUUUGAACAAAAACACAGCAACACAAACAAAAACAUCAGUAACCAGUUGCAGGUUCUCAUUCAUGAUGUUACAUAGAAAACCAUCUCAAGGAAAUUUCAUUAUCAGCUGCCAAAACAAGUGAAGAAAUGUCGCUGACAAAGUCGUUUUCAGGUUUCCGAACAACGUAAGCCCCCGGUAAUAAUCUGAAGUCCAUCGCACUUACUAAAAGAUCCAGGAAUGUUUGCUACAGGGACAUGCAUGAACACCCAAAAACAGGUAUGAUUUGUCGCAACGCCUGAGGUAAAACAUGAAUCUUUCCAUUGGAAUUCAGUAGCAUAAGUUAUAAGAGCAAAUAGUUUACCAUCCACUUUAACCAAUGACAGAUAAUUUGUAAAUAAUUCCAUGUCAAUAAUUUAUCUCUUGCUAACAGCCUGCAAUGUGAUUUGCAAGAAAACUGUUUGGUAGCCGUGUUUACUUUAUGGUUGGGUUUAAGUUUAGUUUUUAACUCCACAGAAAGCUAGUUG